rnacentral:misc_RNA from 1 species
UUUCCGUAGGUGAACCUGCGGAAGGAUCAUUAAAAAAAGAGAAACGUCCCGUUCUUUUUCAUAAGGAUGGGUUCUAUUCCCUUAAACCGUGUCUACAUACCUUUGUUGCUUUGGCAGGCCGCCUUCGGGCGUCGGCUCCGGCUGAUAGUGCCUGCCAGAGGACCCAAACUCUAUGUUUAGUGAUGUCUGAGUACUAUAUAAUAUUUAAAACUUUCAACAACGGAUCUCUUGGUUCUG